UACGUAGGGGGCGAACGUUGUCCGGAUUUAUUGGGCGUAAAGAGCUCGUAGGCGGUUGGGUAAGUCGGGUGUGAAAACUCAGGGCUCAACUCUGAGACGCCACUCGAUACUGCCCUGACUCGAGUCCGGUAGGGGAGCGUGGAAUUCCCGGUGUAGCGGUGAAAUGCGUAGAUAUCGUAAGGAAGACCAGUGGCGAAGGCGGGUCUCUGGACAGUUCCUGACGCUGAGGCACGAAGGCCAGGGGAGCAAACGGG
rnacentral:rRNA from 1 species